AUGCUAUGAUGAGGGCACUUUUGUAAUAACUUCUUGAAUCGCUCCCAUGCCUCAUAUAAAUAUUUUUCAUCAAGUUUUUGAAAUGAAGUGAUUUCAUUUCGGGUCU
rfam:Gossypium raimondii chromosome 5, whole genome shotgun sequence.